rnacentral:tRNA from 1 species
GGGGUUGUGGCUCAGCGGUAGAGCACUCACUAACACAUGAGAGGCCCUGGGUUCAAUCCUCAGCACCA